CCUUUUGUACAUUUAGCUGUUUAUUUCUUUAUUACAGUUCUUAUAGAGUAGCUUAAUCAGCAUAAAAAUAUCACUAUCAUCAGUUUUUUUUAAAGCCAGCUGCUAAAAAAGAUCAAAUACAAGAGUUAGCAGAUACUGCAUACUUCCUAUGCUGCAUAAUUGGUAAUAAACCAACCAAUUUGCACCGAUUGUCAUCCAAAUACAGCCCUAAACAAAAAUUCUAUAGAAAACUACCAAUUAUAUGAAUAACUUGCCAAUUACAACAGCAGAUUGGAAGAAACUGCACGAAGGUGUUUUGCUGCAUAAUUUGCAGCAGCAGUCCUUCAUAAGAAUAUGCUGCAUAAUUCCAAAGUACUGCAUUACAUAAUUCACUCCAUAUUUCACCCUGUUGAUGUUCUAAUCCAACUAAGACAGAUCACUUGAAUUCAUCUUCAUACAGGAUAAAUCUGAAGAGAGAUAGUCCUGCUGCAGCAAUGAUUCUGCAAACUCCCCUGCCCUUAAGCCACUCCCCUGUUCUUAAUAACAGUGCCAAACCGGAGACUUUCCUCUACCAAAGACUCCUGACAGCCCACCCUUUUGAACAACAAAAUGUCUUCCAUCAAACUUGUUAAAUAUCUUCAACAGCAGUAAAAUGCAUAGAUAUACUAAACAAGUUCUGGCCCUUUUCAGAAAUUGUUGCUGUGAAAAUAAAAAACACAACUAAUAGAACUCAUUCAUGGUUGAUGAUUUGAGUCUUGAAAGCUAUGCCAUUUAAACAGUUAUAGAACUUUUGAUAAUCAGAACAUUCAUUCACUUCCAAAUAGUUUAUUUAGUUACCAAAUUAAUAGAGAGGAUGAGACAUUGAAUCCAAUCAGAGGAAGAGAAGUUGGCAUUUUUACCUUACGUUUCUUUCAUGUUCAAGACUAACUGUGUUAGGAUUAAGAUUUCCUCUCCAUAAUCCAUUGCUUGAUUAAAUACUAACCUGUUUCUAUGUUUUCA
rnacentral:lncRNA from 1 species